rnacentral:lncRNA from 1 species
UCACCUCGCUCUAAUCCCCUGGACUCCUUUCCAAUCUAGAAGGACCAGUGACAUCUGCAAGACUAAAUAAAGAUUCUCUGGAGCUCUAGUGAGCGGUUGUGUGGCAAAUCGGGAGGCUGAAGGGACUGCCGGUUGCCAACAAGGGGGAUUUCAGAGUCUGAGCUGUUUGUUUGACUUGCCGCCUGUCCCAGAAGAUGUGGACCCAGUUGUCCGGGAGCAGAAGCUGCUGAGGGAGCCGGGUCGGCUCAGGCAGGUACGGUGUUCUGCACACAGUAGAUGCUCAAUAAAUACCAAUGAUCGAACAGAUAUACACAAAUGCUAGGGGAUUAUUGGAGGAGUUGUGACCUGAGGCAGGUGGAGUCAUUUCAGGAAGACUUCCUGAAGAGGUGAGAUUUUGGCAAGAAUUCGUUUGAAGAAGGGAAGGGCGCACAGUUUGGCAAAGGGAAGGGUGGGGGCAGGCGGGGAUCG